rnacentral:lncRNA from 1 species
ACUCAAGAUAGUAUUUUGGAAAAUUUUCCAUUUGUAAUCCUCGUAAGUCCGAACACUUUGCUAAAAAAUUAUCACAAUUAUAUUUGAUAUCAAACUUCUGUAGCCACCAUUUGGCUAUUGUAUUCCAGUUAUCGGUUUUUGAUCUUAAAAUCUUUUGCAUACUUUUGAUUUGUUUGGAUUUAAUGAACGAGUCUAUAUUGAUCAUACCAAUCCCCCCUUCCUCUACCGGUAAGCAACACACGUCCCUUUUAAUUAAAUUUACUUUUCCCUCCCAUAUAAAAUUCCACAUGACAUUGUUUAUUUCUUUUUUUAUAUUUUUCAGGUAUACC